CCUACGGGUGGCAGCAGUGAGGAAUAUUGGUCAAUGGGCGCGAGCCUGAACCAGCCAAGUAGCGUGAAGGAUGACUGCCCUACGGGUUGUAAACUUCUUUUAUAAAGGAAUAAAGUGAGGCACGUGUGCCUUUUUGUAUGUACUUUAUGAAUAAGGAUCGGCUAACUACGUGCCAGCAGCCGCGGUAAUACGGAGGAUCCGAGCGUUAUCCGGAUUUAUUGGGUUUAAAGGGAGCGUAGAUGGGUUGUUAAGUCAGUUGUGAAAGUUUGCGGCUCAACCGUAAAAUUGCAAUUGUUACUGGCAGCCUUGAGUACAGUUUAGAUAGGAGGAAUUCGGGGUGUAGCGGUGAAAUGCUUAGAUAUGACGAAGAACUCCGAUUGCGAAGGCAACUUACUAAACUGCCACUGACAUUGAUGCUCGAAAGUGUGGGUAUCAAACAGGAUUAGAUACCCGAGUAGUC
rnacentral:rRNA from 1 species